rnacentral:rRNA from 1 species
AUUGAACGCUGGCGGCAUGCCUAACACAUGCAAGUCGAGCGGAUGAAGGGAGCUUGCUCCUGGAUUCAGCGGCGGACGGGUGAGUAAUGCCUAGGAAUCUGCCUGGUAGUGGGGGAUAACGUCCGGACACGGGCGCUAAUACCGCAUACGUCCUGAGGGAGAAAGUGGGGGAUCUUCGGACCUCACGCUAUCAGAUGAGCCUAGGUCGGAUUAGCUAGUUGGUGGGGUAAAGGCCUACCAAGGCGACGAUCCGUAACUGGUCUGAGAGGAUGAUCAGUCACACUGGAACUGAGACACGGUCCAGACUCCUACGGGAGGCAGCAGUGGGGAAUAUUGGACAAUGGGCGAAAGCCUGAUGCAGCCAUGCCGCGUGUGUGAAGAAGGUCUUCGGAUUGUAAAGCACUUUAAGUUGGGAGGAAGGGCAGUAAGUUAAUACCUUGCUGUUUUGACGUUACCAACAGAAUAAGCACCGGCUAACUUCGUG